AAGAGACAGCAGCAGCCGCGGUAAUACAGAGGGUGCGAGCGUUAAUCGGAUUUACUGGGCGUAAAGCGUGCGUAGGCGGCUUCUUAAGUCGGAUGUGAAAUCCCUGAGCUUAACUUAGGAAUUGCAUUCGAUACUGGGAAGCUAGAGUAUGGGAGAGGAUGGUAGAAUUCCAGGUGUAGCGGUGAAAUGCGUAGAGAUCUGGAGGAAUACCGAUGGCGAAGGCAGCCAUCUGGCCUAAUACUGACGCUGAGGUACGAAAGCAUGGGGAGCAAACAGGAUUAGAUACCCCCGUAGUCCCUGUCUCUUAUAC
rnacentral:rRNA from 1 species